rnacentral:rRNA from 1 species
UACGUAGGUGGCAAGCGUUGUCCGGAAUUAUUGGGCGUAAAGCGCGCGCAGGCGGUCCUUUAAGUCUGAUGUGAAAGCCCACGGCUCAACCGUGGAGGGUCAUUGGAAACUGGGGGACUUGAGUACAGAAGAGGAAAGCGGAAUUCCACGUGUAGCGGUGAAAUGCGUAGAGAUGUGGAGGAACACCAGUGGCGAAGGCGGCUUUCUGGUCUGUAACUGACGCUGAGGCGCGAAAGCGUGUGGAGCAAACAGG